GACGAACGCUGGCGGCGUGCUUAACACAUGCAAGUCGAACGGAAAGGCCUGCUUUCCCUUGUGGAUUGCGGGUACUCGAGUGGCGAACGGGUGAGUAACACGUGAGUGAUCUGCCCCCAACUUGGGUAUAAGCCUGGGAAACUGGGUCUAAUUCCCGAUAGGACUGCAGGGUGGUGCCUGUGGUGGAAAACGAUUUUCUAGUGGUUGGGGAUGAGCUCGCGGCCUAUCAGCUUGUUGGUGGGGUAAUGGCCUACCAAGGCGGCGACGGGUAGCCGGCCUGAGAGGGUGGACGGCAACAUUGGGACUGAGAUACGGCCCAGACUCCUACGGGAGGCAGCAGUGGGGAAUAUUGCACAAUGGGCGGAAGCCUGAUGCAGCGACGCCGCGUGGGGGAUGACGGCCUUCGGGUUGUAAACUCCUUUCGACCGCGAGGAAGCCACCUGGUUGGAAGGGUGGUGACGGUAGUGGUAGAAGAAGCACCGGCUAACUACGUG
rnacentral:rRNA from 1 species